AGGGCGCAUGGCGGAUGCCUAGGCUCUGGAAGGCGAUGAAGGACGCGGCAAGCUGCGAAAAGCCGCGGGGAGGCGCAUGCGGCCUUUGAUCCGCGGAUGUCCGAAUGGGGCAACCCUCCCGGCAGGAGGCCGGGAAUCCUUAUGUAGGAUAAGGAGGCGAACGCGGGGAACUGAAACAUCUUAGUACCCGCAGGAAGAGAAAACAACAGUGAUACCCCCAGUAGUGGCGAGCGAACGGGGCGGAGCCCAAACCCGCGGGGUCGAGGCCCUGCGGGGGUUGUAGGACCCGCGCUGAGUCACAUGUCUGACGCGAGGAGAACAGUCUGGAAAGUCUGUCCGCAGAGGGUGACAGUCCCGUAUCCGAAGUGUCAGUUGUGUGCGAGCGGUGUUCCUGAGUAGCGCGGGGCACGUGGAACCCUGUGUGAAUCCGGCGGGACCAUCCGCCAAGGCUAAACACUCUCCAGAGACCGAUAGUGGACCAGUACCGUGAGGGAAAGGUGAAAAGCACCUCUCGCAGAGGAGUGAAAGAGUACCUGAAACCAUGCGCCUACAAGCUGUCGGAGCUGUCCGUUGUGGCAGUGACGGCGUGCCUUUUGCAUAAUGAGCCUACGAGUUGCCGUCACCGGCGAGGUUAAGCGGUAUGAGCCGCGCAGCCGAAGUGAAAGCGAGCAUGAAGAGUGCGUUGAGUCUGUGGCGGCAGACGCGAAACCGGGUGAUCUACCCGUGCCCAGGCUGAAGUCCCGGUAACGCGGGAUGGAGGGCCGAACCGAUAAGCGUUGAAAAGCUUCCGGAUGAGGUGCGGGUAGGAGUGAAAGGCCAAUCAAACCCGGAGAUAGCUCGUACUCCCCGAAAAGCAUUUAGGUGCUGCCUGUGGUGUUCCGCUCAGGAGGUAGAGCGACUGUCUGGAUGCGAGGGCUUCGCCGCCUAUCAAGUCCUGCCAAACUCCGAAUGCCUGAGCGCCAAGCCAUGGAGAAAGGGGGCGGGUGCUAACGUCCGUUCCCGAGAGGAGAAGAAUCCAGACCACCGUCUAAGGCCCCGAAGUCGCAGCUGAGUUAGGCUAACGAAGUCUCUUUCCUAUGACAGCUAGCAUGUUGGCUUGGAAGCAGCCAUUCAUUCAAAGAGUGCGUAACAGCUCACUAGUCGAGGAAUCAGGCAUGGAUAAUAAUCGGGUAUAAGCUGCGCGCCGAAGCCGUGGGAUGACUUUUUUGUCAUCGGUAGGGGAGCAUUCAUGACGGCGCUGAAUGCGUGCUGUGAGGCAUGCUGGAGCGUCAUGAAAAGCAGAUGUAGGCAUAAGUAACGAUAAGGGGGGCGCGAAUCCCCCCCGCCGUAAGACCAAGGUUUCCCGGGCGACGUCAAUCGUCCCGGGGUUAGUCGGUCCCUAAGGCCCAGCCGAACGGCGACGCCGAUGGAAAGCCGGUUGAUAUUCCGGCACCGGCGCUGGGUGCGACGCGGUGACGCGGCAGUGGAACCUCCGCGCCCUGACGGAAGUGGGCGUUGAAGGGUGUAGGCGCAGACGUGCGCAGUGAAGUACACGCGCGGAGCCGAACCUGACAGUACCGCGGGGACUCCGGUCCCGGCGGAGAGCGAGGGUAAUCAUGCCGCCGAGAAAACCCGCUAAGCCUCAGCCCAGCAGCCGUCCGUACCGUAAACGGACACACGUGGUCGGGUAGAGUAUACCAAGGCGCUCGGGUGACUCGCGGUUAAGGAACUAGGCAAACUGACCCCGUAACUUCGGGAGAAGGGGUCCUCACUUGUUUGUGAGGCGCAGAGAAACGGUCCAGGCAACUGUUUACCAAAAACACAGGGCUGUGCAAAGCAUGAAGGCCACGUAUACAGCCUGACACCUGCCCGGUGCCGGAAGGUUAAGAGGAGCGCUCAGCCGCAAGGCGAAGGUGUGAGUUGAAGCCCCGGUAAACGGCGGCCGUAACUAUAACGGUCCUAAGGUAGCGAAAUUCCUUGUCGGGUAAGUUCCGACCUGCACGAAUGGUGUAAUGAUCCGGACACUGUCUCAACCGCGAGCCCGGUGAAAUUGUAGUAUCGGUGAUGAUGCCGAUUACCCGCGAUGGGACGAAAAGACCCCGUGAACCUUUACUGCAGCUUAGUGCUGCGUCCGGGCAUCGGAUGUGUAGGAUAGGCCGGAGGC
rnacentral:rRNA from 1 species